UGAUGGUGUUGGCUGCCUUUUUGAGGCAGUGCCUCCUGUGCAUCCCUUUGGUGGUGGGGAGGACAGUACAUGAUGGGCUG